UCCUAGAAUCCAUAUUAGAAAAAAAAAAAAGAGAGAGAGACCGAGUCACUUCUAGAGGUAAAAACAAGAGGGCCGGGUGCGGUGGUGCACGCCUGUAAUUCCAGCACUUUGGGAGGCCGAGGUGGGUGGAUCACGAGAUCAAGAGAUGAAGACCAUCCUGGUGAAACCCCGUCUCUACUAAAAAUACAAAAAAUUAGCUGGGCAUGGUGGCACGUGCCUGUAAUCCCAGCUACUCAGGAGGCUGAGGCAGGAGAAUUGCCUGAACCCAGGAGGCGGAGGUUGUGGUGAGCUGAGAUCGCGCCAUUGCACUCUAGCCUGGGUAACAAGAGCAAAACUCCGUCUCAAAAAAAAAAAAAAAAGCCAGCUUACCAUGCCAUGUUUCCUAACCCAACUCUCAUUAGGUUACCUCUGUCUAUUGCAGAACUAGUGUGCUGUGUAUUUUAAUUGUUCAGUAGCUAUCGUUUUAAUUGCAUACAAGUGGAACUCUUAAUUCUAAGAGGAAGUUGCUUUACAUUUAAAUGUAAGGGAAACAUAGGUUCCAAACAAGAGUCCUAAUCUCCAAAUCUGAAUACUGCCACUGCUCCUCUGAUCUUUGCAAAUUACAUGGCUGAUGAGUUUUUUUUUUUAAAUUGUGGUAAAAUAUGCAUAAAAUAAAAUUUGCCAUUUUAAACAUACAGUUUAGCGGCAUUAAGUACAUUCACGCUGCUGUGCAAGCAUCACCAUCAUCUGUCUGCAGAACUAUUUUUUUAUCUUCUGCAACUGAAAUUCCAUCCCCAUUAAACACUAACCCCAUCCCCCGGCUUCUGGCAGCCAUCAUUCUAUUUUCUGUCUCCAUGAAUUUGACUGCUCCGGGAAUCUCAUAUUAUGCUGUGUGUUUUAAAAUGCAUUGUACUGGGAAAACGUUUUGCAAACACUCUAAGUGAGGUGAAUUUUAAGGUCCCAAGUGUUCUGGCACUUAACAGCUACAUGUGCAUGUAUGCACUUGUGUGGGUGAGGGAUCAUUAAGAGGCUGAAAAUGGGAAAUCGGCUCCCUCGCCCGUCAAGGUCCCCAUUUGUGGGCUUACGGAAACUACUCCUCUUGCUUCCUUUUCCUUCCAGCCUGAAAUGGUUGAUGAGUGCUGGCAACUAGUUUAAGAAAGGCCCAUUCAGUUUCCUCCCCCGUCCAUCUCCAUCCUUUUGAUGUCUAUAGCUUAUGCCUGUAAACAGUAUUUCUCACUACUGGUUAACAGAAUGGGACAACUCCUCCUCCCACCUCACUUCCUUCUGCCCACAUAUGCCUUUCUCCCAAAGAGCAUGCCGCAUAUAUCAGUUCUGUACAGAGAGGCAGGAAUGAACAGUAAGAAAAGCUUAUCCUGAGACCAAGGGAAGAAAACUGACUCAUUCCACAUGUCUGGUGUCAUUCUCACCUGGACCAGUUUCAUCUUAUAAGGAUACACUUAAUGGUCUUUCUAAAACAAAUCAAGCCCUCUCACCCAAACACACACACACUCAGAAUGGUGAGUAAUUGUUGCUUUGUGUACACCAUGGGGGUCGGCAACAUUUUUUGUGUAAAUAUUUUCAGCUUUAUGGGUCACCUGGUCACUGUAACAACUACUCAACUACUCUGUUGUAACCCCCAAACAGCCAGUAAAUAAAUAAAUGGGUAUGUCCAUGUUCCAAUAAAACUUUCUUUACAAAUGCGGGUAGCAGGCUGUGUUUGCUCACCUCUGCUGUAUAUAGAAGGCAUCAGUAUAUUUAAAAUACUUCAUGAGACAUGUCCAAACAUUACAAAUCAAGUGAGAUCAUUAGACUGCAUCAUGACCUAAGGCCACCUAGUGAUAGAGAAGCCAAAUAAGACCUAGAUGAAAACUACCACAAGAAGUCAUACUACAUUGGCAACAAGGAGUCAUAGAGUGUUUGCUUAAGAUAUUGGUGGGUGGGCGGGCAGAGUCACAGUCACUAGUUUGUGAGCUUUAUGAAGGCAGGAACCACCUUAGUAUAAGCUAUGGAAGGACAGAAUGAUAUACAAUUCUUUUUCUACAUGGACCCUUAACAAAUGCUUAAGUAGUAAGCCUGAGCUGCUUACCAUGACCGCUGAAGGAGAAAAAGGGCAAUUUCUACCUUCCUGUACUCUGCAUAAACACUUCAUGUGUCUUAACGUUAGCUUAUAUUCAUCAGUUUCCCAUCACAGAGCAAUGGGCAAAAGAUCGUUAAAAAAAUAUUCCAUUUCAGAGAUGACUAGCUUAGAAACCUGAAGUGCUUCCCCCUCUGCAACCAGUUUUCUACCGUGCAGCUGCAAUGACCUAUUGCUGACUAUACUCAUCUCCCCUGCGUCAGUCCUUCAGACGUAGCCAUGUCUUCCCAACAAGGAAGUAGCCCAUGUUCGAGAGAUGAGGAACGCUUAUUUUUCAGAAGAGGGCACACAGGCGACAGGUCACUGGUGAUCACUCACUCCCACAAGGGCGAGGGGAGGAGGGAUGAUGUGGGCUGGGCUGCUGAAGCCACAAACCAAAGCGCAGCUGCAGAGAGCACACAGCACAAGGUCCUAGAUACUCACGGUGGCUGCUACAUAGUUUUGCAGACUGACCUCAAUUGAGGAAAACAAAUUGAAGAAAAAAGAUCCAAAGUCCCUCUUUGGAUAUAACAAUGUUGAGGAUACUACAGGGAGCAACACAGACAUGGUCACUGCAUCCUGGACCCCCUCAAAGGAGAAACAGUUUUGAUACCUAAGUAUGUGAUAGAAUUCCUUUCAUCAAAGUGCUUACAAUUUAGUUAAGGAAACUGAUCAUCUAGAUUUUUUUUUAACAGGCCAGUCAUGGUGGCUCAUGCCUGUAAUCCCAGUGCUUUGAGAGGUCAAGGUGAGUGGACAGCUUGAGGCCAGAAGUUUGAGACUGGCUUGGCCAACAGAGUGAAAUCUCCGCAAAAAAUAAAAAUAAUUAGCUGGGUGUGGUGGUGGGCACCUGUAGUCCUAGCUACUCAGGAAGCUAGGGCAGGAGGAUCACUUGAGCCCAGGAGGUCAAGGCUGCAGUGAGCCAUAAUUGUGCCACUGCACUCCAGCCUGGGUGACAGCAAGACUCUCUAAAAAUAAAAAUAAAAAAUAAGGAAUAAUGCAGGCUAUGUUGUAUCUAGGAGCGGUAGAGACAGUAGCGUCCAAGUAAGACCUGACAGGCAAUGACUGACUGGCCAGAAUCCUCUUCAAGCAAGGCUUGGCCCUAAAGAAGGUUAGCCCCUGGGCAAGCGUGAGGGCAUUUCACAGAGGGCACUGGCACAGUAAAGCUCCAGUGUGGCUGGAGCUGGGGAUGAGGGCAGACAGGCAGGAGCAGCUUGGACAGUGAAGACGAGGGAAACAGAAGGAAACAGGAGAUCUGUGAAAGGCCGCCCUCCCCGACCAGACCUGGGGAGAGCGAGGCGAUGGACGUCCCUGGUCCUCACUGCUAGUAGUCAGAACUCACCUGUAGCUCACUUAUUACUGACAUGCAAAUGAAUGCUAAACUGCCCAAAAUGUUAGUGAAUCCAUCUAAAAUCUGGCUUUCAAAUCCUUCAUAUGUUCAUUUGCUUAGCAAACCUUCUAUAAAAAUAGAAAACACAGAUUUCCAAACAGAGUCCACAUUAAUGAGGCCUUCGAAAGACUCCAGAAAACCAAUGCAAGAGUCUGCACAUAGCUAGAAGUUUAAGGAACAGUUUUUCUCCCUUAUUCUAAUAGCAAGUGACCAAAUGACUACGGAUUAAAAUGAGAAUUUUUCAUGGCAGAUCACCUUUUUUCAUGCCAUAUGUGAUUCCAGGCCCUCCAAGCAAUGAUUUCAGAAGGGUCUUUGAAUGAAUAAAUGCAAAGUGCACAGACUUUCUCCAUCUAACAGUCUUUUACCAAACUUUUACAAUUUCUGUUUCCUGCAUGAGGUUGAGCGCUGAGGAUCUAAAGAUGAGAAAGACAAGGUCUCUGUCCUCAAGCUGCUUUAGUCCAAGAACUGUGGUCACUGGCCAGGUCCCAAAGUAUAGUUCUUCACCUCUGUGGAGCUCCCUCUGGCUCUCUCUACCUACCUCCAAGUGUGAGUGCCUAAAGAGUGUGUGCUGAAGACUCUAAUGGGGCCCAUCAGCAUGCCAAAGGCUGCUCCUAGCAUCGGUGCCCCUCGCCUCAGUGGUGGUGGAGAGGAACUGAAGCCCUGCAUCUUGUGCUGCUACAUGGGAUACCUGUAAUCCUGGGACUUGAUGGCCUCACCCAAGGGGUACAUAAAGCCAUAAAGAGAAAUACUGCGUCUUUUUAGAAUGUAGAAUAUCCAUUUUAAUCAAUGGCAAAUGAUGGAAAUAUUUUUAUAUUAAACUCAAAAAGUUACCUAGACCAGAAGAGAAAGGUAAAUGUUAUUUAUGUUUUUGAGAUGGAGUCUUGCUCUGUCACUGAGGCUGGAGUGCAGUGCUGCCAUCUCAGCUGACUGCAACCUCUGCCUACUAGGUUCAAGCUAUUCUCAUGCCUCAGCCUCCCUAGGUAGCUGGGACUACAGGCAUGCACCACAAUGCCUAGCUAAUUUUUGUAUUUUUUAGUAGAGAUCGGUUGACCAGGCUGGUCUUGAACUCCUGACUUCAGGUGAUCCAGCCACCUCUGCCUCCCAGAAUGCUCAAUCAAAUGUUAAAGAUAAAAUCCAGCACUUCAAAGAAGGUCAUACUUUUUGCAGGCCACAUGGGCCAUGUGCUCCCAUCCUAGGGAUAAAGCCUCAUUCUCCAUUUCACAGGAGGCCUUCAAUGCAAAGGUAGCAAAAGGAUUUUCUGGUCUAGAAGUUUAUCAAUCAUCACCACACAGAUUCUCCCCAUUGCUUCCCUUAAUAUCUAAUAAUGAAAAGCUGGGCUAGGAGGGAUCCCAUCGGGAAGCAUGAUCUUUUCUGCACUGAAGUGGGUAGAACCCCAAAUUUGAGAUCCUAGGUGUUGCCAGUGUUUUAAUUAAAUGAUCAUCCUGGGCUGUGACAUUAAAUCUCAAAUUACCAAGGAGUACCUGGUAGUUAAAAUUAAUUAGCAAUUUUAGCCAGAGUGUUCUCUCAAUUUCCCAUUGGUUUUGCACCCUGUGUAGGAUAGGCUCUAGUAUGGUAUAAGGUUCCCCACCAGCAGGGUCCCCCUCUGCACAGAGAAUCUAAAUCUCACAAUGCAAAUGUUUAGACUAACCCAAUUACUGGAAUAGGUGCAGAGAGAGAACACCUGAAUCCAAUUACUUUCUCUGUAGCUAAGACUUUCAUACAAAACUCUGAGGCUGAGCAAUGAAUGACUCCAGUGAAGUCUGUCCCCGACGCGUCUCCAGCCACCCAGAGUCUGAAGGCCUAGAAAUGUUUGCAGAAUCCUGCCUGCAUUAUCUAUUCAAGAUCAAAAACGUGUCUCAGUAUCUUGGCUUCUAAUGCAUUUUUGGAAAAGUCAUCUUCAGCUCAGAUACUUUGUCUACUGUGAAUUAUCUUGGGAUGUGUGUGUAUGUAGUAGGGAGAGGAUUAUGGGGUCACUGAGUGCCUGUUGGCCGAAUCUGCCACUGGGUCUGACUCGUUCUGCUUUGCUUUGCUCACUCCUUGCUGCUGGCAUCUCACAUACCAAUGCCAUUAGGCACUGUCUGCCUUGGUCCUCCUACAAUCCAGCCAGUGCAGUUCCCGUCACAGCAAGUGCUUCCUCUCUCAGAGCAGACAAGCUAACUGAAGCCACAGCCGGAAGCAGGCUGACCACAAGUGCUAAGCUUCUGGUUAGCUCUUUUCUAGGUUCAAAAGAAGAGGCUGUUCUAAGAAAGACUACCGAGUAAUCAAUCACCUCCUCAGAGAAAGUCUGCUUAGAGAUCACCUCACCAGCUACCUCACUGGGUUACUUUAAGGAUCAGAAAGGCUGUGAAAACAACCCAUAAACUGGAAAGCAUUAUGCAAAAGUAUUAUAAAUCAGUAUGUCAUCUGCCUAGAACUGAGAUAGAGUCAGCACUACAAUCCAGGUAUUGACUCCAGUUUCAGUGCUCAACUCCUGUGUAAAGUUCCUUCCUUUCUUUGGGAUAAAAGUUUAGGGAUACCGAUUUCUCUUUUUACCAACUAAGCCACAUGAAGGGUAUCCAAACUGUAAAAUCAGUCUGGUUCUGCUUUUGAGUUCUGAAUGACGUUACCAAAACAGGCCACAUUAUCUAACCUUCGGCUGGACUGGAAUGACCAAUCGCCCUUCCCAGACUCCAUAGUUGUUCUUGGAUGAUACAGCACAACAAAGAUGGGCUCAUCCCAGCAGAGAGAACACACCCAUUUCUGAUGAAAUCCAGAGGAAGAGCCAGCCGCAGAAUCAUCCUUGCAAGUCAUUCUGGGGCCACAGGUGAAGUAUUCCCUGGGCACCCACGGGGACUGUGAUACACAGGGUGCACACUUGCCAGGGGUACAGCUGGGUCCCGGGCACCUAGGCUGCAGAAACCAGAGGUCACAGGAGGAGAGAAAGGUGGGACCAGUCACCCUUGCUGGACAAGGGCAGGGCAAGCCCAUUUGAGACUCUGAAUAAAGAACAAUCAGACUCACUCACCCUUCUGCCCACAUCAGUGUCCAAGCUCACUUAAGCAACUUCCCCUGCACUUUCAAUUAGCUAAGAAAUAUGCCAGAACAUUCCCAGUGGCUACAGAUAAGGAUUUUAGCUAUUUUUUCAUGAUUUUCUUCUGUUCUUUUCUGGAUUCCAUUAGUAUUCAACUUUGAUCUCUUACUACUUUUAUAUAGCGAUAUAUUGUGUUUGUUUUAAACUUAUGGAAACAUCUUUCCAAAGUCCUGUGCUGUUGUUUUAGGGAAAGAUACAUUUAUCUUUGAAAACACACACACCCUCACCAAUAAGCUGCUUCAACGCAACCACGUUCCAUCUCAGCUUUAUCAUCUGAUGGGCUUUUAUACUGGAAAGCUCUGAAAUAAAACAGUUUUACUUAAGGUCAGCCCUGCCUAGACACACUGAGAAGGAAGUGAUGGAAGAUGUUAUCCUCCAUACCAUCCACAGGACUUUAUAAAGAGGUGAGAAGGCUACCAGCACUGUUAUUGACUCGAGAGUGGUUUGGAAGAAAGGUGCCACACAGCGAGCUCUCUUUAGGGAGAAAGAAAUCAUCUAUCAUGUGGAUGUUCUCCAAAUUCCUUCAUCUUUUCCAAACCCUCCCUUUUUCUAACCAGCCCCUUGUACUCUGACCCGUUAUUUACUAGUGUGUUCACACAGCUAGCGUGUCCCCUUCUCCCUCCUGUCAGCCACAUUCCUGCUCCUGACACAGACCCUAACGCUCACACCCUCCUGUUUCAUAUUUCACGAACUCCUGUCCCCACUCUGAAUGUUGCUUAUUGCAAUCUUAAAGCUACAACGGGCACAAGAGACCCUUUGAUUCAACUUCCUCAUUCUACAGGUGGUAAAACUGAAGCCCUGAAGAGAGAGGAUUUGUAAAAGGUGAAAACUCAGUCAAGUUCACCUGUAUAGCUUUCACACACAAAUGACUAUCCCUAAAUACUAGCAUCUCUUUCCCAUUCUCACACUCCCUAGAGACAUGACAGUAGGCUUCAUUGUAAAGACUUAGGUUUUAAAGAACUCUGAAUACAUAUACUUGAUGUAGACAGUCACAUUCAGAACAUUUUCCAGGCCAGAGCAGUUUUAUACAUGCAUUUUUGUGGUUACACACUUCUCCGUAUCCUAUUAUACUAUAGUCCAGCUCUACCAGACACAGUCAAUACUUAGGAGUUGAGGCAGGGGAGUUACAAAUGUAGUGAGGAAGUCUAGAAGUAAAGGGCAAGUUGGGCAGCCCAGUGGAGUCUGCGGUCGGGGAAGGAGCAGGAGGGUGGGUCAAGGUAUGGGCCGGGGGAGAAAAUGCACUUUGGAGCUUAUCAGAUCUGCCAAGUUGGGGAAAAUGUGCAUGUAUGCAGAUAUUUCAUAUGUGUAAUAAAGCAUGGACAUACAUCCAUACAUCCCUGGAUGAACUAGCCAACGGGGAUAACUAGUUUCAUGCAUGGCGAAGCCAUCUUCAGUGGCUGAUAGAAUGAUGUCUACGCAUAACCCUCAUGUCCUGCACAGACUCACAGAGUAGACUUGGGUAUACCUGGUUCACGCUCCAUGCUCUCCCUUAGCACACAAGCUCCUUGAGGGUGGAUCAUGGCUCUGCUCAACUCACUGUUAAAACAACACCUGGCACACCCUCCACGAAGGUCAGGAUGUAGGAAAUUCAGAGGAGAGUGCCGAGAGGUCAGUGUAGAACCGGGGCCCAAAUGCCAAGUGCUUCACAAUAAAAGGAAAGUGCCCGUGAAGUGCUCCGUGGGACAAGGGGUGAUUUCAUCCCCUCUAGACUAAAGGGCAGAAUGUGUUCUGAGGCUGGGUGGGGAAACUUAAGCUCAGCAACUGCUUUGUGCAGCUGUCACUGACACGAACCCAAGCUCAAGUGCACAGGGUGGGGUGAGAGAGGCUGGCUGGAUGGGCGGUGAGUCCAAUGACGCUGACACACUGUUUCCAGCCACCAGGAAGCUGGUGCCAAAUCCCUCUUCGCUCCUCCCUGCUCCAAUAUUCUUGACUCUGCCAUGGUGCCAGCUAACUUCAGGAGGAAUUCUGGGAGUUGUAUUUAGCAGGCAGCACAGGCUGUCUCCUCACCCACGGUGAAGGGCUUUCAGAGCCCAGGUGACAUUUUAACCAAAUGCUCGUGGCCUCCCAGGUUGGGCCAUAAGGAAAGCUGCUGCUCAGCACUACUAACGCUGAAAUAUCAAUCUUCUAGGAACAUACCCAGGAACACCCUUCCUCCCAGCAUCCUCACUGGAAUUCAGAAUAAAAGCCCAAACCCAUCACCAUGCAUCUGCACAAAGCAGAGGGUGUCCACACCACUUUAUCAAUAGCCAGGACCUGCAUGCUUGAUGCUGCAUAGAGGAGGUGCAUACGCAGGCGGAAAGGUCAGAGGAGGGUUAAGGGCACACCCGGCUGGACUCGCCCUUCCCCUCUCCUGCACCUAAGUGCUGUCUGGCCGGGACUUCAACUUCUCAUUUCCUUAAACUGAGAUGCCCCAUGAAGGCUGUGUGAAUUUUUAUGCUCAUUUCUUGACUCUAGUCACCGCUGCCACCAUCUUUCCCCCACACCUAGGUCCUUACUGUUAGCUAAUUAUGAUCCACAGAUAACUUUACUCCCUCCAGCUCCUGCACUUGGUUUCUUGCACUGCGUAAGGUUGGAAGCUAUUGUCCUCACUUAAGAAACUGUCUGCAGAUUUCACAGGCUCUCUUGGGUCAAGAGAGGUGCGAGACUUCAACCAGGUCCCCUUUUAAACAGAAGGUAAUGGCAUGCAGAUAUUCUCUUUCCAUUUUGAUCUUUUGCUCUUGUUAACACGUUGCUUUCUGUGUUUGCUUCCUAUAUCAUCUUAUCAAAUACAGAUAAACACAAGGGCUAGAUGUCCUACUGCUUUUGAAUCUUCUCAUAAUGUUUCCUUACAGAAGUUUAGUAGUGCUGAAUUCACUAAUAGAACUUAUUUGCUUGGAAAUUUUGCCAGGAGGUGCUGUCAGGCAAAAAGGCUCUUUUGCAUGUUGCUCUUUUGAAGCAAAUUACCCGAAGCUUUCAGGAAAGCAUUUUCCAGGAAUGUGGGCUCCUGGACUCUCCCCUCCUAUGCAAAAGCACCCCACCACCUUCAGAGAGCAUCCCAUUUGCUGCCACCGUGAGACUACUUUUGAUCUGGAAAAUUGCUCCUUUGCUUCUGGACCCCUGUAUAGCUAGUUUCUAAAGAGGUCAAGUGAACUAACCCGUAAUCGAACAAACUGGAUAAUCUCCAAUGGAAUGUUGAGGGUGAGGAAGACGGAGCAGGAGAGGCAGAGAGAGAAGGUAGAGAGGUGUCUACCCUGCUGUGAGAAAAAGUCAGCACCAGGCUUAAAGGAUGAUGGACCAGACAUUCUCAUGUGUAAUUAUUAGGGAGUUAUAUUCAUUUAGAUGAGUCACCUGGGUGUGGAAGCUCCAGUCUGGCUGUGCUUCUAGUGAAUCGUCCUCCUCCUUUUACUUAGACACCUCCCAAAUUGGGCCACAAAGGACUUAUCAUUCCCUGUUUCAAGCUAAGGUGAGGGUAGUGAAGUUUAUCAUAUUUCAGCAGGUCAAAAUCAACAUCAUUUCAGAUACAUCCUUUGUAAGAGCUGUGCUUGAUAACUUUUCUUGAACUCCUACCAUCUCAACAACCCCUAGAGUUUUGAGGUGGCUGUCUGAACAGUGGUUACCGGCAGCAGCAGCUCUGAAAAUCACACCCCGUCUAACUCCCACCUUGUUGAUUUAUGCAUUAGCCAGUCAGCAUCCCCAAGAGAUCCUCUUUCCCACUUUCCUCUCCAUCCACUAAGGGGCCUUUCAUGCACUUGCCUCUUUUAAAGGAGGCUAAUUCAGUAUCCCUUGGGGAUCGGGGCUGAGAGAUAAGCCAAUCCAAGUCCAAGAUGUGCCAGUCCAAACCAGAUGCCACCAGCCAACCAGUGGCUGCAGGUUAACAGGAGGAGCAUAGAGGUGACCACACCUGUGACCACAUGUGGAUAUAUGGGUCAGGACAACCUGCGGGUGGGUUCUCAUUCAGCAGCUCUGGAUUUCAGUCUCAGCUGUAGCACUUCCCAGCAGUGCGACCGUACAAAAGUUGCUCAACCUUCCCGAGUUUUAGAUUCCCAUCUGUAAGAUGUUAAUAGUGCUACCUACUAUGCUGUGAUGAGGAUUAAGUGAGAUCAUGCACAUAGAGUGUUUAUUUCAUGCAUACUGAUUACACACGAUCUAUUCAUUACCAUCUAAUCUGCCCUUCCCAGGGCAAAGCAGACUCCAGCACAGACUGCUCCUCCAGAAGCUGCAGCCCUGGUACAUUCUAGAACACUCCAGCUAUCAUGGGGAGGCAGGUUCUCCCCAAAUAUUUCACUGUGCAAUGAAUAUCCUAUCCUAGAGAAGGAGCCAGAGCAGUCCAGGGUAUCAGGACAUUCUGAAAUGUGGAUGAACAGUAUUCUAUCUGAUCACUCUGUCUUUAUGCACCAUUCACUCAAAAACACACCUCUGAAAAGAUAACAGUUAUGUUAACAGGGCAGAAUUCCAAGAUAUAGAAGUGAAAUCUAUAAUUAGAAGAAGAGAUGCGUUAUAUUUUUUCAUUUGUACAAAUUUAUGGGAUAUUUGUGAAAUUGUGUUACAUGUAUAUAGUGCAUAGUGAUCAAGUCAAGGUAUCUAGAGUAUCCAUCCCCUGAGCCCCACACAUUUUUGUUCGUUAUAGUCAUUCUGUGUUAUCAAACAUAUUCCUUGUACCAAACUGUACGUUUGUACCCCCUUAACCCAUUUCUCUGUAUCCUCUCCUUUUCCCCCAACUCACUCUUCCCAGUCUCUGUUCUCUAUCUUUCCAAGUCUCCAUGUGAUCAAUUUCUUUUCAGCCCCCACAUAAAAAUGAGCACAGUCAGUGUUUCUCUUUUUGUGCUUGGCUUAUUUCACUUCAGAUAAUGGCCUCCAGAUCCAUCCAUGUUGCUACAAAUGACAGGAUUUCAUUCUUUUUUUUUAAUGGCCAAAUAGUGUUCCAUUGUGUCUGUACAUCACAUUUUCUUUCUCCACUCAUUUGUUGUUGGGCACUUAACUUAUUCCGUAUCAUUACUAUUGUGUACUGAAGUUACUGUUUGGUCUUCUUUACCAACCUUCCUUCUUAAUGCUGCUCAAAUUUCUAAUUCUCAAGAAUAAUGUAGUCUCCUGCAUUUGACUGUACUAGAAAAAUGGGCUGCUGUUUCUUUGCUGGGAGUCAAAUAUUUGGUCUUUAACCUACAACACGCCCAGGGUGCACUAUCUAAAUUCUCUCAGGCAAAGUGCUUAUAAUGAAUUCACCACUUAACUCCGAUUAAAUAGCUCCAAUAACGGCCCUUCAAAUCAUCAUCUAUAGACUAACACAAAUUCUCAGUUUAGUUGGCAUGAGAGCAAAGCCAAACAGUGCUAAAAUUAUUCAAAAAAGGGUGUGCGGCACAUAAAUUAUUGUGAAAACCUAAAUGCAGAUCAAAGUUAAUAAAAAUUUGCUUAUUAAAAAAGGGUAUCACCAAAAUGAUGAUGGCACCAAAAUUCAGAUUCCUGCAGGGAAAGCAGAUAUUUUUCCCACCCCCUUCCCUUUAUCUGCCAAGGGCUAUGUCUGGUCACCCCAUGGUCACGUUUCUCUGAAAGCAUAGACUUGCCUGGGUCCCAAGUCAACGAAUAAUGAGAUUGCAUCUCAGGGACUGGGUGGCACUGUGAGUUACAGUGGAGGAAGGCUCACUUCCCCUGGCAAUUUGGGUGACAGUUUCACCUUCCAUCAGGUGCUUGAGUUGAAGGACAAAUGUACCAGUGAACCAUGAAUGAUUUCAUUAUCUAAUCUAAGGCUUGCCUUGAAUACACAGAACUCGGGGUCCACUCCCCAAAUCAAUGAAAGCCCUACUUCUGGGCAGUAAAAGCAAGUGGAGGAAACCACUGUAGACAUGGAUGGAAUUCACAAGUGUCUGUGCCCAAUUCAACAGAGAAAAGAACGCUAAUGUCAACCAUGCCCUGCCUCAACUUUUAAGGACGCUUAAAGAUUUAAAGUUCAAGAGAGAAAACAUAGGGAUUUUCCAGGGGAGGAAGUACUUAGAGUCAAGAUGCCCACUCUGACUUUUGUUAGUGUCAGCGUGCCCACAGCCAAGGUGUUUCUCAGAGUCUUAGAACCAUAGGAAACGAUGCUUCUAUCAGCUCUGCUGCCAGUCUGCAGCCUCUGCUUCCUGGCUGGUGUGCUCUGGGCCUACUGCUCAGUUGUUCUGUCACCCGCUCCCUCCCUCCAUUCGUGCCUCCCACCUGCCAGCUCACAUUUAUCUCAUGUCUACCACCCAACGGAUGUGUGAGGUGGUAUGAACCACGAUGUACAGACAGGAAACCCAGGUCAGCAAAGUCCUGUGACUUGCCCGGGGUCACACGGCGAGGGAAGGUGCAGAGCAGAAACUCUCACCUUGGAUCUGCUGCCUCCACUUCUUGGGUAGUGAGGACUUCAUGACAGACAUCAGCCUGGCCCCAGCUUUGAUGGGGAUACUCCCAUCUCCAGUGAAAGGAGAGAGAGAAAGACCAGAAGGGGAGAGGAAAAUAAUACAAUCUAUAAUGUUUAAACAAGAUUAACUUGUGGUGAACAGCUGGUUGCAGAGUUCUCAACUUAAGAUAGACUCUUCACAUGCUCCCUCUUUCCCUCCCUCCAGAGAUGACAAGAAGUGAACUGUUUCUAUCUACAGAGAAGAUAGAUAGAACUGUUUCUACCUACUGCAGGCCAGUUUCAGCAGGAAUUAGGAAAGGUGAAAUAUUUCACCUUUGGCUAGUCCAGCCAAGCUGUUGUGUUUUUACAUGACUGGGCAGCCACCGAUGGAGGGAAUGCACCUCUGGGACAUGGGUCUAGGAAGGGCGGGCCAUGGCUUCGCACACAGACAGAUCUUUCCUUCAUUCUCUCCAAGUCAGCCUGGGUUUCCAAGAACCCCUCUCAAUACAGUGCCCCAGGUAAAUUCUAUGACCCAGCUGUGGGUUGAGAUGAAAAGCCAUUUGCCAUCCCUGAUGCUGCUAUCUGCAAGGAGCUGCUCUCAGGGCAGCUGGGCUCCUCCCUGCCCAAGCGCUAUCUGAGGCCUUUUCCAUUGGUUCUGUUGGGUUGCCUUUGGCAGGUGCCACUCCACAAGUCUCUAGGAGUCUCUGGGAUCUUCAUCCAUGGGCUAAAGGAGAGCUGAAGAAGAAUCCAACAUCCCUGGCCUUCUGUAAUUAGGCAAGAGGUGUUUUUCUUAGGGACCACAUACACUAAAAGAGCCUGUCUCAAAAACAUAAGGUAAGCAAGAGGGCAGUGAGCCCUCCAGCCUGCUUUUCCUUCCAUCUCUGCCACUGACCAUCAGCUGUCCCUUCUCUGUCCUCCACACUGGAGUAGGUGCGACCUCCUGGGGUUGGCUUAUCAAAGAGAUUACUGAUUUUCCCUGCCAGUACCAGUGGUUAGGAUGCCCCCCAGCCUUAGGGGGAAGGCUUGUGGGGACUUUGUCUCAGCUGUGGCUGCCUCCACAGGGUGUGACUAACUGGGGCCUGCAGGUGGUCUUGUAGCCUCUGUGCUGCAGGUCUGAGGUCCCAAGGGGCCCCAGGCCCCCCUCCCCCCCCCAAAUGACUCAGCUGAGCACCCCAGCUGCUACCCUGAGGGAGCCAAUGCUCCCUUAGGAGUCCCCAGCAGGGAUUCACAUGGUUUCAAGACCAAACACCACAGCAAAUAGGACAAACGAGAAGGCACCGCCACUGAGCUGGCAGAUCUGACACUGAGCCACCACUUUGCGUGCAGAACAUCUGGUUCCGCAGCCGCUUUAACAUUCAGAGAAUAAUUCUUUGAUGCUGUAGAUUUUUAGGUUUUCUGACAAGAUGUCUCAUAUAAUCAAAGACUGAUGUGGAUGGGGAAAGGCCCAGGUUCUCAGUGUUGCCACGCAGCAGGCUCUAACCGGGUUGGUUGGGUGGUGGGUUACAGGUCACUCUGACUCUUAAUCCUCAUCAAGUGACUGCUCACAAGAUGCCUUUAAGUCUCCACGAUUGAGACAGAAACCCAAAAGUGUGCCAGAGUUUUCUGUGACCGGAAAGUAAGGUGAUUAACAGAAAACCUCAAAACUGGCCCCUGGAAGAUUUAAGGAGAGGGCCCGUUCAAACACUUGAGAUACAAGAGAACAAACUUAGGGGAGAGAAGGAACAUAAGUCAAGGGUGAACAGUACAGGCCUCCUCUAGACGUUCAGACAGCAAAUGCAGAUGAAGGUCAUUAUCUGUGCAUGUGGAUGGGUCUGUCUGUAUAAAUGCUGAUCGAGUAGGGUUUAAUUUGCCAAUGUCAACAGCUGGAGGAAAAGAAAGAAACUAAGGACUUUUCAGUUAAUGUGUCCUGACCCUGGAAACCUCACCUGUGGAAAUCCAUACUGGCACUCAUCAGAAUCCUUAAUCUGCUUAAAAAUAGGGGUCUGCUCCCAGAAUCCCAGUUUCCUAACAACAGGAUUAUGGAUUGCGAUUUCUAUAGUCAGCCAAGCCUGGUUUGAAUUCUGGCUCAGCUCCUUCUGAGCUGUUCCUAUAAAGUUGCUUAACCCCUCACCUGUUUUAUCUGUAAAAGGGAUAAGCCAUCAUUCUCAUUCUGCAACUUGUGUGUUUUUCUCCCUGCUCUGUGCUGAUGUUUUUCUCCUUUCUUUCUGCUAAUCGAUAACCCUUGUUGCUUUGUCCGCUCUUUCAAAACCUUUUUCAAAAGUUACCUCUGUUGUGAACCUCCAUCCAUCUCUCCCCACCCUAGAAGUCCCUUCCUCCGAGUUCCCCAUGGAGGAUAACUUGAAUGACCAGAUACAAUACUAGAGGUGGAAGGACUUUACAAACCAAAGAGGGCCAAAUGCAUGUAAAGGUUUAGGAAUACCUCUCCUCAUCAUUCACACAACCCUUCUGGAGAGUAAUCUUAAGUGGGCAUCUGGUUUGUCUCCUCUGUUAGGGUCUUACUACUUAAAGGGUGAUGCCUGGACCAGCAGAUUCCACAUCUCCUGGAAGGCUGCUGGAAAUGCAGAAUAUCUAAAGUCCUGGUAGUGACUGCUGAGUCAGAAUUUGAAUUUGAACAAGCCCUCCAGAUGAUUCAUAUGUACAUUAAAAUUUGAGAAGCACAGAAUUCACCUCUAAGGACCUCAAGGGUACAGGUGGCACAGUGUCUCCAGAAAGCCCUCCAGAGCCUAGUAGAGGCCUCUGUGCCUGUGUAAUCCGGGUAUUCAGGAAAUACAACCAUGCGACCACUGACCUGCCAGCAAUAAAACAGAAAGCCUGGCUGCCUCUAGGUCUGUCUAUAAUGAUACUUAUCUGAACAGACCUGACUUCCAGUAUCUUUACAUAAAAAGCUUGAAAAUUACAUCUGCAUAAAAAGCAGGCUCCUUUAGGGUAAGUCAUUAUCAGGUAGAGGCAAGUCCUUGAUAACUGGAAGGAGAGUUGGCCCCUUCUCCUCAGAGGGAGCCAGUGUGAAUCACAAAGACUCCCUCAAUUUCACAGUUUAUGCUCUUCACUCCACCAUCCACCCCUGAACAUUUUAAUGGUGUUCAGAAAGCACAGGUCUGAAAGGACAGCUGGCCUGGGAUACCCACAGCGCACAUUUGGUGACUCUGCAAAGCCCUGCCCAAGAAGAGCACUCAAACAGCCUGAAGCAGCUUCCCCACUUCCAGGGACAUGAUAUCCACACUUCCCAUCAGCAAGAAGAUUAAUUUGGGACUCAAAUUCCUCCAUCAUAUGAUCACCUCCUAAUGAUUAGUAGAGUGUCUCCCAGAAAGGCAAGGCUGAGAGCAAACACAAACCAUGCUGAACUACAGUGAGCAAUCACUUUGCCUCUAAGACACCUCUUAGAAAGUGAGUGUUAUUCAAAAAGAAGGGGGGAAAAAGCAUUAUCAAGAAAAAAGGCAGAUUAAUAUAGUGAUGGGAAAUUGGGCUGUGGAGUCUGAUCCAGAUUAGAAUCCCAGGCCCAGUUCCACGGUCAUGUGCUAAUCUCACUGAAGCUCAACAUUUCCCCCAUUAACACGAGAAGAUACCACCUGCCUGGUGGCUCUGAGGAUCACUCAAGAGAACACACGAAGUUCACAGAGCACAGCGCCUCAUCCGUGAGAAGGGCUCAGGCAACAUCGGAUGUUAUUUUUCUGCUGAGCUCCCCCAUGGGCUGCUGGGGCCUUGCUCAAGGCUGAGAAGCCAGGCCACGUCCACCUUGCUCCUGGGAGGCCUUCCCACUCACCUUGAUCAUUUCUGCCACAUAACUCUCAGGCCCGGUGUAUUCAGUGGAGUCCUUUACUUUCACCAGGACGAUAAAGCACAGAUAGUGCCACAUGUUGUGUUCUUCCUUGAUGUGCUCUUCAAAGGUGACAGUCUUGUUGUCAAACUUGUCUCUUUCCAAACCUGAAAAUGAGACAGAAAGCCCCCGGCCCCAGCUGAGUAGUCUUGGUAAAGAAAAAAAUCCAUGACAGAACUGUCAGUAGAGAGGAUGCUAUAGUUUCGCUCCUGUCUUUUUUAUAAAGAGUUGGAUUCUGUCAGCCUUAUAAGUGCAUUCAUGUUCACAUUAUGGCAGGAAAACAUAGGCUGUGAGUCAGACAGACUUGGGUUUGAAUCCCACCUAUGCCACCUAGCAGUUGCUGCUUCAUCUCUACAUGUCUUAGUGGCCUUGUCAGUGAAUGGGAAGACUACCAUCUAGGUCCUAGGAGUGUUUAGGGGUGAUAUGAGAAUGUGUGUGACACACUCACACAUUGCAGGCAAUCAGGAAAUAUGAGGUCUCUUUGCCCAGAUAAAUGCCAAAAUGCAGAUAUGUUAAGGUUUCUUGAGGAGACAGAAUAAGGACAAAAAGUAUUUUAAACAAAUUUUGAACUCUAGCUGGUAGGUUUAUAACUUGAAGAAGCCUGGGUGAGCAGUUCUAGUCUCUGUGUAUUCUAGGAUUGAUCAAAUAAAUAUAUUGUGGAUAAUGGGAGCUGGAUUCCUCACUGCCUGAGAAAAGAACACAGAUAGAGAAUAAACCCUGUAAUGCUGAAAUGAAAGGAAAAGUAUCAGAAUGAAUUCAUCCUUUUUUAUACAUAUAGACACAGAUGUGUGAAGAUACAUUCACACAUAUGCAGAUGCAUACACCUCUCCUCUAGAUCUGUAGCCUAAUAAGCCCUGGGAGCAGCAGCACACCAACAGGAAUGAGCACCCUCAGUCCCCAAAUUUUGGCUUCUAAAUACCUUUCUCCAAUAAGAAGAACCAGGGCCCUUUGGAGAAAUGACUGAUUCCAGGGAUGUGUCAGGAAAUGUACAAGGUGAGCCUAAGCCUGGAAUAUCUUAUGAUGCCAAAAACAGAAGAAAGUACAUAGAAAAUGAUGAUGAUAUAACUAAACCCAGAAGCCAGCUGGAAAGGGCUCUCUGGCCAUAUCUGAAGCAACCUGAACAUCAGAAUAAAUAAUGACAGUGCAGGAUUACAGCCCAUUGAACAAAAUAAAAUCCAUGAGUUCAUGUUACAAAUAUAAACACAGAAAUAUACAUACAUAUGUGGAGAGAAGAAAAAAUUCUUUCUUACAGUAAAAAGCUAGUAAAGAAAUGUAGAAAUAAUAAUAAAAUUAAAGUCAUCAUUGGGCAACCAUCAUCAUAAUUGAUUCAGUCAGACAUCAUUAAUGAAUGCUAAAGUAUGAAAGUUUAAGGAAUAGCAGGAUAUUCACAAAGUGUCAAAGUAUGUCUCCUUAAAAAGUAACUUCAUGGAGUUACUGGAGAAAUAUAGUGAUUAGCACCUUAACCAAAUCAACAAUGUUAGUAUCACAGCUAGGUGUAGGAGCUCAGGCCUGUAAUCCUAGCAUAUUUGGAAGGCCAAGAUGGGCAGAUUGCCUGAGCUCAGGAGUUAGAGACCAGACUGAGCAACACAGUGAAAUCCCACCUCUACACAAAUACAAAAAAUCAGCUAGGUGUGGUGGCAGGCACCAGUAAUCCCAGCUACUCAGGUGGCUGAGGCACAAGAAUUGCUCGAACCCAGGAAGUAGAGGUUACAGUGAGCCGAGAUCACCAGUUACCAGAUGAACUGGCAUUAAGUGCCUCCUGAUAUGAUGCAACGAGAAGAACACAACAGCAUGUUUUUGAUAUUCCUAUGGAAGACCACAUAUCUUCAAACAUCAGAUAAUGUCCCAAAUCAAGGGACAUUCUACAAAAUAACUGACCUAUAUUCUUCAACAGUGUCAGCAGAGGCUAAGGAGGCAUGGUGACUGAAGCCCCACAGGAGGUGGGGUUUGGAAAGGACAUUAUUGGAAUGAAGGGUGAAAUCUGAAUAAGCUCUGUAGAUUAGGUAACAGUGCUAGAUCAGUUUUAAUUUUCCAAUUUUGAUAAUUAUACUGUAGAUAACAAGAGAAUGUCCUUAUUUUUAGGAAAUGUGUAUUAAAAUGUUUAAGGAUUAGAAAGCAUCAUUGUCAGCCACUCACAUGCAAAAAGUGUGUGUGUGUGCAUGUGUGCGUGUGUGUGUGUAAAGCAAAUGAGAUAAAAUAUUAAUAUUUGGAGAUUCUGGGUCAAGAGCAUGCAGAAAUUCUUUGGACAGUCAUGCCUUUUCUGUAACUCUGAAAUUAUGCCAAUGCAAAAAUCCUAAAAAGGUUUUAGGGGGGCAAAAUGCAAAGAAUUUAAGUCUUUAAUUGGAAAAUGCUCAUUUUUUUUAGCAUACAUACCACUAGGAAAUUUAUAUAUUCAGUACUCAUAUUAUUAAUAUGAUUACUCAGCUCCCAGACUCCUCUGUGAUUAGUUUACAUUUACAAAUAUCUUCCUGUGUUUAUACUGAACAUUUUUUCUUUGCUGCCCAUCACCUCUUUUAUGUAGCAGUUCACUACUCCUCCCAUGCCUACAGUGUGCCGGGUUCUAGCUAGGAGUGUCACAUAUGCUGUCUCUCCUGAUUCUCACAAUAAUGCAGAGAAGGACAUGUUAUUGUACCCAUUUUACAGAUGAGGAAAGAAAGUUUAGAGAUGUUAAAUGACUAAAUGAUGGUUACAAAGUAAGUGGUAGAAACUCAGUCAGAACCCAGGUCUGCAAAUACAUCCCAGCAGAAUAAAUGCCAAGUACAGCCUCACUCACUGCUGAGGGUAGAGAGUCAAGAGGAAGCAGCCGGUACCCCUUCCCCCAGUCCGUCACACCCUCGCAGUCUCGAUGUGCGUUUGCCACCUGGGCCUUCACUCCCUUGCUGGAGCUGGCCAGCAACACUCACCACAGAUAAAGCAUGUGGUCUUUAAGAUCUCUUCCUUUUUCUGCUUUUCACUCCUCAGGUCAGCAAAAGUGUCAAUGAUAACCCCAAAAAUCAGGUUAAGAACAAUGAUGAUAACCAUGAAGAAGAACAAGAGGUCAUAAAUCACUCUAGCAGCAAACAGGGGUUCCUGGAAAAGAGAGGUGUCUGAAUGAGUCUUAGGCCCUCAUAACCCUUUUGUCCACCCAGCUCAAGUGAGACCUCAUCUACUUGGGCAGAAAUUAAAUUGGGCGUUAAACUUUUAAUCUCAAAGCUGCCUCUCUUUUCACAUCCCCUGUCUCAAUUGUGAAUUCUCCAACUGUUGUGUGACACAGCCCAGAGGGAUCUUGGAUGUGCGUUCAGGUGGAUGAGACCUAAUGCUGACGGGAAAAGUCCCUAAGUCUACUCAAUGGAGAGUGAGAGCUACCCCUUUCCCUGCAGCUGAUUUUGUGGCACCUCCUCACGUGAUAGGGAGGAAAGAAGCCUGACAAGCUAGUUCCGCAGCUGCUCAGCCCUACUCCCAGCUCUUCCUCUGCGUCUUCAGUUUACACUCAACACCACUGCAUGGUGCUCCCACCCCACCCGCCCCCUCUGCCCUUCCUUCCCCUCGGGAUUAAUUUACCUCCUUGGAUGGCUUCCUGAGCACAUCUCCUACUCCACCCCCGCUCCGCAGCCCGUGACUCAGUACAGUGACAAUGCACAUCAGCAGUGUCUCACAUGUGUGCUCUUUAUCCUCUUCCGUUUCUUCUG